UAUCCACAUCCAUAGUACGACCAUAAUGCAUAUCCACGUCCAUGUAUUCCUGAUCGAUUUCUACUACAGGUAGAGUCAUCACUCAAAACACAACAACACAAAUUUCUCCAGUGUAUCUUCUGAAGCCGAGUGCAGUUGUAUCUCUCUUGGAUAUUUCUUGAACAUUUCGCAUGAAAAUAUUAGGGGUCGAAGUAGAAGAUUGAAGGAAAACUUGAGUGAGCCUGCAGGUUGAUGAAAGAAAUCUAAAAACAAACAUAAGAAACAAAACAAGGACAGUUAUAAGAAACAAAACAAGGACAGUUAUAAGAAACAGAGAAGUGAUGAAACACACACCUACAGGCCAACACUGAAGGUAAGACGCAACUGCACCAUGAAUUUAAAGUUUUUACAAAACAUUACGCACUCAUAAGUACUCCCUCCGUCCCAAAAUAAUUGACUCAACUUUGUACUAACUUUAGUACAAACUUAAAUCACUUAUUUUGGGACAGAGGGAGUAUUAAUUAGAUUUAUCUAUUGUACUAUUAGCAUGCAAAGUCACUCGACUAAAGGGAAGCGUCAAGCAACAUCCUCUAGGACUGGACUUAAAACGACUACUACACCAACAAAACAUAAGCAUCCCAUAAUUACCUAUUCUUCUGAUUUAUUUGUAGGUUUUUCAUACUAUACCAGGGUUGGGGGCUGCGGAGAUGUGGAUCCCGAGGAGGCGUCAUCGAUCUGUAUUGAGAACUCUAGAUCGCUGCUUGAUCAUCUUACUGUAAGGAGCCACACCAUCUGUAAACCAUUGUAGGAUACUACAAAAUGAAUAAAAUUUCAUUUAACGUAAGUGCAUAAAAAUAGUAUAGUUGUUCAAGGGAAAGCUUAACAAGUAAACAAAUUAAUGUGGACAUUAUUCAGAAAGUGAAGAUGCCUACUCUGAAAAGAAUAUGCCUACUCAUUGUCAUAGCCUCGGUGUCAUCAGAAAGAGCCUAUCUAUGUAAUCAAACACUCACUGGAAAACCUCAAGAUGGAGUUACUGGAGGUAAUGCCAGUAAAAGAUAGAUCGAUUUGUAAUGCCAAUAAAAGAUAGAUCGAUUUGUAAUGGAGAUACAAUGGGUAAUGCCAGUAAAAGAUAUAUCGAUUGGACUCACAUAAUCUGGCACAUAGUUUACUGUCACUAUCACUCUGUUAACUGAUGAGAGUGUAAACACAUGCUGUUGGCUAGUAGCUAGUAUUGUAGAAAUAGAAACUUAGUUUGACCUUGUAUCAGGUGAUUCCGUCACUACCUCAUAUAGCAAAUAAAUCAUAUAGGUAUAUAACGGAUUGGAAAAUAGAAAUCUCACCGAGCAACACCGGAUAUGUAGGACCCAGAUCUGGUUUUGAUGUCAAUUAUGUUGUGGCCAAUCCCAACCUUGAAGCAAUAGCUCUAUCUUGGAAUUCUUCCAGCUGCAUAUGAAGUAAGAUUUCGAAAUUUGGCAGCAUUUAUAAAUUAGGGGCAAGCCAGUCUGAGCAAAAUAAUGUGACAAGGAAUUAAUGAGUCAAUUUUGAUAGUGCAUUAACAUGAGGUAGAUAUAUGUAUAUAGCGGAUUUGAAAACAUAAACUAUGAAACAGUCCAAGAGUAGACAUGUUUCUGAAACAAUGAAAUAGUAGCAAUCACCAAGGCAACAAUUAAGCACUAAUUUAAUUUUGAACCCAAUGUCAAUUCUCAUCAACAACAGACAUCUGAGUAC
rnacentral:lncRNA from 1 species